ACACCGGCGGCCCGAGUGGUGAUCGUGAUUAUUGGGUCUAAAGGGUCCGUAGCCGGUUUGGUCAGUCCUCCGGGAAAUCUGAUAGCUCAACUAUUCGGCUUUCGGGGGAUACUGCCUGACUUGGAACCGGGAGAGGUAAGAGGUACUACAGGGGGAGGAGUGAAAUCUUGUAAUCCCUGUGGGACCACCUGUGGCGGAGGCGUCUUACCAGAACGGGUGCGACGGUGAGGGACGAAAGCUGGGGGCACGAACCGGAUUAGAUACCCGGGUAGUCCCAGCCGUAAACGAUGCUCGCUAGGUGUCAGGCAUGGCGCGACCGUGUCUGGUGCCGCAGGGAAGCCGUGAAGCGAGCCACCUGGGAAGUACGGCCGCAGGGCUGAAACUUAAAGGAAUUGGCGGGG
rnacentral:rRNA from 1 species